rnacentral:rRNA from 1 species
UAGGGAAUCUUCCGCAAUGGGCGAAAGCCUGACGGAGCAACGCCGCGUGAGUGAUGAAGGUCUUCGGAUCGUAAAACUCUGUUAUUAGGGAAGAACAUAUGUGUAAGUAACUGUGCACAUCUUGACGGUACCUAAUCAGAAAGCCACGGCUAACUACGUGCCAGCAGCCGCGGUAAUACGUAGGUGGCAAGCGUUAUCCGGAAUUAUUGGGCGUAAAGCGCGCGUAGGCGGUUUUUUAAGUCUGAUGUGAAAGCCCACGGCUCAACCGUGGAGGGUCAUUGGAAACUGGAAAACUUGAGUGCAGAAGAGGAAAGUGGAAUUCCAUGUGUAGCGGUGAAAUGCGCAGAGAUAUGGAGGAACACCAGUGGCGAAGGCGACUUUCUGGUCUGUAACUGACGCUGAUGUGCGAAAGCGUGGGGAUCAAACAGGAUUAGAUACCCUGGUAGUCCACCUCCGUAAACGAUGAGUGCUAAGUGUUAGGGGGUUUCCGCCCCUUAGUGCUGCAGCUAACGCAUUAAGCACUCCGCCUGAGGAGUACGACCGCAAGGUUG